AUGCGAUGUGUGAGAGACACCUUCGGGGGUAUCCAGCUCGCUCCGUGUGCAGUAAACAAGCACAAGAAAAAACUACGGAUGCUGAGGAUGACAACACAGCAUUAUGCACGGCUGCUAGAGAGUCUCAGGCGCAGCGUUGACUGGGGGCUUCCGAAAGUAGUCCGUAUGGUGCACAGUGAAACAUCAAGAUCCAAUCCAGAUACAUCACCCAUAGAGCACAAUGGAGUGAAACAGGAGGGCCCAAAAGGAUGUAACACUCACCUUGAACCAGACCAAUCCUUAAAGAAGCAAGCAUUACUCAUCUGCACAUUUCUGAAGCCUUUUGAUUAACAAUGUGUCCAAAAUAAAAGCAGAAAAGGGAAAAUGCAAUUUAUAAAUGUCAGUGUUGCUUUUACAGAUGGGCAGCCAACAUAUCAGGAUAAUUAAGUUGUAGAUAUUCUUUUAUGCAGGCCCACGAUAGCAAUUAACACGUUUUGUGGAGAGGUGAAAACUUUUUUCGAAAGUGGUGAAGAUAGAUAGAAAUCCAUUAGAGGAGGUAAUAAAAUUGGACUCCCAUUAUAAAAAAUUGAAAGGACGCCUUUAUAAAGUGAUAUCAAUUGAAAAAUAAACCUCCAAGGGCAAAUUAAUGACUGAGAACUCAUCUUUAAUUGGCCAUCUUGUUGGUUUAUAUGAAUACAACUCCAUUAAAAAGGUAAGGCCCAUCCACAUUUUCCUUUGACUGCAUGGCAAGGCCCUCUUGAGCUAUGGGUUCUAGAAAGCAAGGGGGGUUAUAAUAUCGACUAAAAAUAACCAUUUGUGGAUUGCUAAGCUAGCUAAAUGUCUUGCUUAACGCAAUAUAAAACACGAUUCUACAUGCUCACCUAAGUUUAAUAAUUGUAGGAAGCUGAAUAAGAAUAACAAUGCCUAUUAAGAAUAACAAGUAUAUUUUCAAUCUCUUAAAAGUUUGACAGCAACCUAUCCUUUAUGCUUAAUUUUUCAGUGACAUGAUUUACAUUUUGUGUCUUCACCGCCAACCUUGUGUGAUUCACUUGUUGUUUCAAGCAGUGAACUCUGGUGCUGAAUAAAGUACUAUUUGUGUGAUAACAAAUACUCAUGAAACUAUUAUAUGUGAAUACAGCAGUCAUGAGGAUAGAAUAGAAUGACAUUCAAGUGAUUGCGGCUAUUUGGCAAGGGGAGGAUAUUUAUUCUGCACAUAGACCAGCUGAAUGUCUAUUACAGAACCUGAAUGAGGUAUCUAAGCUAUCACAAAGUUUAUUCACUAUUACUAUGGUGGACUAUUCCUAAUUUCUCAAUAUCCAUUCCCCAGAGUAAUCACAGUGUAUUGGUUUUUGAUUUACAGACAACUUUCUAAGUGCGCUUCUCAUGCCAGUUUUCCUCAGGGUCUAGACUAGAUUGUACAUCUCUCUACUCCCCUCUCUGUCGCCAUCUAAUGGUGGGAGUAUAUUCAGUCUAAGCCCUGGAGCCCAGCUGAGGAAGAGUAGCAGUAGCAGCAGCAGCACAUCGUCCCCUCUCAGGUAAUUACUUCUUUUAUCCCAGAACCACAAACAGCUACUUUCACAUUGGACAUCCAGCCGUCCUAAUGGCCCAUUAUUUAAAUAAAUGGGGGUAACAGUGUGGGGUUGGUGACCCCCUCAGAGCCGGCAGGCCUCUCCAUACAGGCACACCUGCUUAGACAAGGUAACGUUUAUAACUGACACCUUCACGGGCCACAACAAAAUGGCUGGCGGGGUCAGUGCUGGAGGAGUGCACCGGGCCCAUCAUAUUGCAAACAUAUCCAUUUGCUCAAGCUUUGCUCUUGUGGUUGCCAGGCUACCAACUAAUAUACGGUGACCAAGCGUGCGUCAGAAAAACAGAAGUAAGAUGUUGACUUUGAGAUAAGUACCUCUUCAAAUUAAACAGCGCCAUCACAUUGCAUUGAAAAAUAACAUUUCAAGAGGUCGACUUUAAAUGGCUCCCAUUUGGCAAAAAAAAAAUCCCUGUGUUCUUUAACUCUCUAAAAUCCCAGAAUUUGCAUACCAGUUGUGUUAGUUAGGACCAAUUAAUCAUUAAUGUUUUAAUUGCGUAGAAUGAAGGGGAUAAUAUCAUUCUACCACAUUUUUUAGUCUGUGCUUAUGUCAACUGAACAUUCAGAUGUCUCCUUAUUAAAGUACACAAAAAGAUCAUUAUGUCCUGCGGUGUUUAAACAUUGUUAUCGUGCUGUUCGAGGGAAUAUUUGGUGAAUUGGAUACAGGAGAGGGUUAGGCCUCGUUUGGCUAAUGUGAUCGGUCACACUUACACACUGAUAGUCAAGGCAUGUCAACUCCCUCUCUCAAUGUUCCAGACUCAAGGUUCAGGAAAAUAUUUUUUUUGAUGAGGCUGAUUGUACCAAUAACCACACUCACCAUGAAGUGUCCAUUGGGCCUGUUGGGAAGGAGCCAAAGCAGACACAGGGCCAGAGUGAUGCUCAGUAGUACAACUCCACCAUCUCCUAAUUUGAAUGUUGCUGAAAUCAAAGGUCCCAGUCUACCCUUGUUUUAGAUGAAGUUAUACACUGUUAAUGCAUGUAUUAUUUGGUCAGUUUCUGAUAAUAGAUAGGUAACUGGAAUGAUGAGAUAGAUGUUCUUCUUCUAUGUUUUAGUUGUAUUAUUUCACUGCCAUACUGUGUUUGAUCUUGUCUAGCCAUCUUGUCUCAAGAGGACCACAAUGGAAAUAAGUCCCAGACUUUAUUGUGUGUUAUCCUCGAUGAUUUUAUUCAUGUGCAUGUAUGGCUUUUUCAAGUUUUAUGUGUGCUUGUUUUUUAAAUGGUCGAAUUAAUAAACUAAACUAAACAUCACCCAAACUCCUCUGAUGGCCAACUCCCAUGAGUCCGUUGGACCUCCAGUCCUCCAG
rnacentral:lncRNA from 13 species